rnacentral:tRNA from 1 species
UCCUGGUUAGCUCAGUUUGUAGAGCGUUCCAUUGGAAGUGAAAAGGUCCCUCUUUCGAUACCAGGACCAGAAG